rnacentral:tRNA from 1 species
GGACGGUUGGCAGAGUGGUAAUGCAGCCGAUUGAUACUCGGUAGGACCUUAGGGUUCCGUGGGUUCGAAUCCCACACCGUAUG